rnacentral:lncRNA from 1 species
CAGAUCAGAAGAGAUAAAAUCAAACUCAGAAAUCAAGGAAAUACUACAAAGACACCUGUUCCUACCGCAGCAAAGGGACUAACACGAAGUAGACAUUAGAGGGAACAUCUUCUCCAGAAGUUGUCCACUUGUGGGAUUACACUAGGUAUGUUGCUGUUAUCUACUGCAAAAGUAGCUUUCUAAAAGAGAAUUAAUGGACGCUUACAUCUUCUGCCAGAGGUUUCCAGUACUUUGUGAUAGCAGGAGUGGCCACCCGUUCAGCAUCAGUUAAAGCACCCUGGAGGAAGACAUAAAAGAGAUGUUUAUGUCAGUAGCAUUCAACGUCAAAAUGAUAAGCUGUCUUCUUCAGAGUCAAGAUGCCUUGGAUAAGACAUGUUAGAAACUACGAAUUCAUAUUUUUAGUUUUUCGGAUAAUACAGAUUUCAAGUCAUGGAAUAAUUAUUAUUUUUAAAAGGUAAAGGUUAAAAGUCAUGGAAUAAUUAGAAUGAAA